rnacentral:rRNA from 1 species
GAUGAACGCUGGCGGCGUGCCUAAUACAUGCAAGUCGAGCGAACGGACGAGAAGCUUGCUUCUCUGAUGUUAGCGGCGGACGGGUGAGUAACACGUGGAUAACCUACCUAUAAGACUGGGAUAACUUCGGGAAACCGUAGCUAAUACCGGAUAAUAUUUUGAACCGCAUGGUUCAAAAGUGAAAGACGGUCUUGCUGUCACUUAUAGAUGGAUCCGCGCUGCAUUAGCUAGUUGGUAAGGUAACGGCUUACCAAAGCAACGAUGCAUAGCCGACCUGAGAGUGUGAUCGGCCACACUGGAACUGAGACACGGUCCAGACUCCUACGGGAGGCAGCAGUAGAGAAUCUUCCGCAAUGGGCGAAAGCCUGACGGAGCAACGCCGCGUGAGUGAUGAAGGUCUUCGGAUCGUAAAACUCUGUUAUUAGGGAAGAACAUAUGUGUAAGUAACUGUGCACAUCUUGACGGUACCUAAUCAGAAAGCCACGGCUAACUACGUG